rnacentral:rRNA from 1 species
UUAGAGUUUGAUCCUGGCUCAGGAUGAACGCUAGCGGCAGGCUUAAUACAUGCAAGUCGAACGGAAACAGAUCCAGCAAUGGAUGCUGUCGAGUGGCGCACGGGUGCGUAACACGUAUGCAACCUACCCUUUACUGGGGAAUAACCCCGCGAAAGCGGGGCUAAUACCCCAUAGUACUAUUGAGUGGCAUCACUUAAUAUUUAAAGAUUUAUUGGUAAAGGAUGGGCAUGCGUCCCAUUAGUUAGUUGGUAAGGUAACGGCUUACCAAGACGAUGAUGGGUAGGGGUUCUGAGAGGAUUAUCCCCCACACUGGUACUGAGACACGGACCAGACUCCUACGGGAGGCAGCAGUAAGGAAUAUUGGGCAAUGGCCGAGAGGCUGACCCAGCCAUGCCGCGUGCAGGAAGACGGCCUUAUGGGUUGUAAACUGCUUUUAUAUGGGACUAACCUACUCUACGUGUAGAGUACUGCAUGUACCAUAAGAAUAAGCAUCGGCUAACUCCGUGCCAGCAGCCGCGGUAAUACGGAGGAUGCAAGCGUUAUCCGGAAUC